UACGUAGGGACCGAGCGUUGUCCGGAUUCAUUGGGCGUAAAGAGCUCGUAGGCGGCCACUCAAGUCGAAUGUGAAACCUCGAGGCUUAACCUCGAGCCUGCAUUCGAUACUGGGCGGCUAGAGUCUGGUAGGGGGAUCUGGAAUUCCUGGUGUAGCGGUGGAAUGCGCAGAUAUCAGGAGGAACACCGAUAGCGAAGGCAGCUCGCUGGGACGGUACUGACGCUGAGGCGCGAAAGCGUGGGGAGCGAACAGG
rnacentral:rRNA from 1 species